rnacentral:rRNA from 1 species
AACCCUGAUCCAGCCAUGCCGCGUGAGUGAAGAAGGCCUUCGGGUUGUAAAGCUCUUUCGGACGGAAAGAAAUCGCCGCCUCUAACAUAGGCGGUGGAUGACGGUACCGUAAGAAGAAGCACCGGCUAACUACGUGCCAGCAGCCGCGGUAAUACGGAGGGUGCAAGCGUUACUCGGAAUCACUGGGCGUAAAGAGCACGUAGGCGGCCUUGCAAGUCAGAUGUGAAAUCCAACGGCUUAACCGUUGAACUGCAUUUGAAACUGCAAGGCUAGAGUAUGGGAGAGGUAGGUGGAAUUCUCGGUGUAGGGGUAAAAUCCGUAGAGAUCGAGAGGAAUACUCAUUGCGAAGGCGACCUGCUGGAACAUUACUGACGCUGAGGUGCGAAAGCGUGGGGAGCAAACA